rnacentral:rRNA from 1 species
GAUGAACGCUGGCGGCGUGCCUAAUACAUGCAAGUCGAGCGAACAGACGAGGAGCUUGCUCCUUUGACGUUAGCGGCGGACGGGUGAGUAACACGUAGGUAACCUACCUAUAAGACUGGGAUAACUUCGGGAAACCGGAGCUAAUACCGGAUAAUAUUUCGAACCGCAUGGUUCGAUAGUGAAAGAUGGCUUUGCUAUCACUUAUAGAUGGACCUGCGCCGUAUUAGCUAGUUGGUAAGGUAACGGCUUACCAAGGCAACGAUACGUAGCCGACCUGAGAGGGUGAUCGGCCACACUGGAACUGAGACACGGUCCAGACUCCUACGGGAGGCAGCAGUAGGGAAUCUUCCGCAAUGGGCGAAAGCCUGACGGAGCAACGCCGCGUGAGUGAUGAAGGUCUGCGGAUCGUAAAACUCUGUUAUUAGGGAAGAACAAACGUGUAAGUAACUGUGCACGUCUUGACGGUACCUAAUCAGAAAGCCACGGCUAACUACGUG